UUGUGGCUGUGGAGGGGCAAGCCAGGCAUGAAGCGUCGCACAGCAGCACACGCUCGAACGUACAGGCAGUUUCUUGCUUUUCAUCUCGAAUUGAUUCCCGGUGAUUUAAGCCACCAUUUAACGAGCCGUUUGUUCCUAUUUAAGCUCCACGCCCUCCUCUUCCUUUCCCCUCAAACCACACAGACCAAGAGCCUCCAGGCUGCUCGAAUUAGACCUCGCAACUCCGCGGUACUGCUGCAGUACAUCGUCGAAUUCGAGCGACGGUGCCAUCUUCGUCUGUGAGCACGUCCGCGGGGCAGUUUCCGGCGAGCGAUUCCGGACGAACCCGUCGAUCUCCACGUUCCCGUCUUCGCCGAUUUAUAUUUGUCAAAUCAAGCGCCGUUGCCUGCUUCAACAUCGCCGGGGAAUCAUCCUCGAAGAGGCGCGGUUAUAUUCCAGCAAUCCCCAUCUCCUAUUGUGGUUGCUCCGAUUGCAACGAGUGUUUUUGCGAAGAGUGUAUCAACUCAUCCCCUCGCUAAGGCAAGUGUUACUUUUUCACUGUCCUACUGUUUGCUAAAUAUAUUCUAGGAUUUCACUAGUAGUGCAUGUGUAGGAUUAUUUUUAUUAUAUACGCUAUGUGUCUUGCUAUGAUUUGAUUUCCCUUUUCCACCGUAAGUAGAGUUUCCUAGAUAUGUGGAUAGAUACGUUGCUGAGAUAUCAUGUCAAUUUUAGAUGAGGUAAAAAGAUAUGUUUUCCAUAAUGAAAACAACUUGGUUCACGAAAAACCUAGACAUAUUGGUAUGAUGGGGGCGUUUGCAUGGUGAAUAAUGGUGGGGAUCGCCGUCCAAAAAUCAAAGAGAAUGGACAUUUUUUUCUCGUUAAGGAAUCGUAAAUAGCUAGAGUUCCUUACAUUGGUACUACCGUAGGCGGACUAGCAUUAUGUAUAGGGAGUUUACCCUUACAUUGGUACUGCCGUAGGUGGACUAGCAUUAUGUAUAGACAACUUAUCCUUACAUUGGUACUACCGUAGGCAGACUAGCAUUAUGUAUAGGGAGCUUACCCUUACAUUGGUGCUGCCGUAGGUGGACUAGCAUUAUGUACAGGCAAUUCACCCUUACAUUGGUACCUCCAUUGGUGGACUAGCAUCAUGUAUAGGAGAUCCUCCUUACAUUGGUACCCCUUGGUGUGCUAGUAUUAUGUAUAGGGAUUCUAUAACAAGAAUUCAUUUUGAUACAUACAGAGU